rnacentral:rRNA from 1 species
UUCCCAGACUCCUACGGGAGGCAGCAGUGGGGAAUAUUGGGCAAUGGGCGAAAGCCUGACCCAGCAAUGCCGCGUGAAUGAAGAAGGUCUUAGGAUUGUAAAAUUCUGUCCUAUGGGAAGAAACAAAUGACGGUACCAUAGGAGGAAGCCCCGGCUAACUACGUGCCAGCAGCCGCGGUAAUACGUAGGGGGCAAGCGUUAUCCGGAUUUACUGGGUGUAAAGGGAGCGUAGACGGCAGUGCAAGUCCGGAGUGAAAGCCCGGGGCUCAACCCUGGGACUGCUCUGGAAACUGUAAAGCUGGAGUGCGGGAGGGGCAGGCGGAAUUCCUGGUGUAGCGGUGAAAUGCGUAGAUAUCAGGAGGAACACCGGCGGCGAAGGCGGCCUGCUGGACCGUAACUGACGUUGAGGCUCGAAAGCGUGGGGAGCAAACAGGAUUAGAUACCCCAGUA